GUCUCACAAGAUCCGAUGGUUUUAUAAAGGGCUGCUCUCCUGCACAUGCUGUCUUAUCUGCCACCAUGGAAGACAUGCUUUUGCUUCUCCUUUGCCUUCUGCCAUGAUUACGAGGCCUCCCCAGACAUGGUUAUGGCAUAAAACUGGCUUUAAAGUCUUCAGGGUCACUGGCAGACAACAUCCUCAUCUGCCCUGCUCUCUGUAGGAUCACCUGCUGUGAGAGGAGCCAUGUGGUAAGGACAUUCAAGCAGGCUUGGAAAGCUCCACGUGGCAAAGAACGGAGGCCUUUGGCCAGCAGCCUGCAUCCAUUCUCCAGCCCUGUGGGUGAGCGCCCAGGAAGCAGGCUCCAUCCCCAGCCCAGCCUUCAGAUGACUGCAUCUUGGCCGGCAUUUGGACUGCAACUUCAUGGGAGACCCUGAAUGAAAACACCCAGCCAAAUCUCUUCCGAAUUCCUGACCCACAGAAACUGUGAAAAAGCUCCUGGUUUUUGUGGUUUUAAAUUGCUAAGUUCUGAAGUAAUUUGUACUCAGUAAUAUUUUUUAAAUACUCAGCACUCAGUAAAUAUUUAUUGAACAAAUGAAUGAAUAAAUGAUUGAGUGAAUUAGACUAAAAGCAACAGAGGGCAUGGCCUCACACCCUCUAUUUAUUUAUUUACAGACAGGGUCUUUCUCUGUUGACCAGGCUGGAGUGGUGCAGUAGUACGAUCAUAGCUCACUGCAGCCUCAAACUCCUGGAUUUAAGCAAUCCUGCGGUGUCAGCCUCCUGAGUAGCUGGGACUACAGGUGCUCACCACUGUGCCCAGCUAAUUUUUUAUUUUUUGUAGAGAAGGAGCCUUGCUAUGUUGCCCAGGCUGGUCUUGAGCUCCUGGGCUCAAGUGAUCCUCCUGUCUCAGCCUUCCAACAUGCUAGGAUUACAGGCAUGAGUCACCAUGCCUGGCUGACACCCUCUGUUUUAACCUGAUAGGAUGCAUGUGCCACAGUCCUCUCCUCUGUUCUGUAAGUUUUAGAUCCUAGAGCAAUAUUUCUCCACCUCAGCACUAUUUUUCUUUGAGGUCACAUAAUAUUUUGUGGGGGAGGGUGGGUGGCCCUGUUCAUUGUAGGAGGAUGUUUAGCAGUAUCCCUGGUCUCUACCCACUAGCUGCCAGAAGCAACCCCUUCCUCCAACAAAGUUGUCACAACCAAAAAUGUCACCAAAUUUGCCAAAUGUCCCCUGGGGUACAAUAUUGCCCCCACUUAAGAGCUACUGCUCUAAGGUUGUCACUGAAAAGAGAGUAGAAGUACUCACAAUACUAGCUGGGUCCAGAGAUGCUAAAAAAUGAUACAAUGUUUUCAAAAUAUUUGGCUUACAAAAAUC
rnacentral:lncRNA from 10 species